rnacentral:rRNA from 1 species
GAUGAACGCUGGCGGCGUGCCUAAUACAUGCAAGUCGAGCGAACGGACGAGAAGCUUGCUUCUCUGAUGUUAGCGGCGGACGGGUAAGUAACACGUGGAUAACCUACCUAUAAGACUGGGAUAACUUCGGGAAACCGGAGCUAAUACCGGAUAAUAUUUUGAACCGCAUGGUUCAAAAGUGAAAGACGGUCUUGCUGUCACUUAUAGAUGGAUCCGCGCUGCAUUAGCUAGUUGGUAAGGUAACGGCUUACCAAGGCAACGAUGCAUAGCCGACCUGAGAGGGUGAUCGGCCACACUGGAACUGAGACACGGUCCAGACUCCUACGGGAAGCAGCAGUAGGGAAUCUUCCGCAAUGGGCGAAAGCCUGACGGAGCAACGCCGCGUGAGUGAUGAAGGUCUUCGGAUCGUAAAACUCUGUUAUUAGGGAAGAACAUAUGUGUAAGUAACUGUGCACAUCUUGACGGUACCUAAUCAGAAAGCCACGGCUAACUACGUG